rnacentral:lncRNA from 1 species
CACUUGUCUUCACAAGUGUAAAAAAAAAAAAAAGUUCUAAGAAAGGUGGUAAGCUCAAUAAACAUUUAUGAAAAACCUAACUUAAACACUUUUUUCCUGUAACAGAUAGUAUUGUGAAAUGUUUCAGAUGUUUCUCCUCACAGCAUUUCUUUUUGUCCAAACAGAUAUUAAAAUGCAGGAUGCAACUCCACAUUUCAACACAAGAGACUUUGCCAGAUAGGGUAAGCUAUGCCAAACGAUAUAAAGGUUUAGAAAAAAACAAAUGAACCAACACUUGAGAAAACUUGGGAAGUGACAGUGAACAAUGAAUCUUUAGACGUAGUUGUCUGUUGUCCAUUUUAGAUGUUGUGAAGAAUAGUAUCCUUUUUCUGAUUGUUCAUAAUCUAACGCACAGUCAAAUUUUGUUUUGAAAGGGUAUGUGUACUCUUCAAGUACUGCCAUGUUUUUGCAGUGUGUCGGGAGGGACCCCCAGGCUGGGCAGAGAUUGCUCUGACAACAGGUGAAGCGGCUCAGCUGGGGAGCUUUCUGGAGCACAAGACAAGUCUGGAUCCAACAGGCUACCACCAACAGUGCAAAGGGAAAUUAAAAAGAAAAGUUUUAAUUUGAAGAAUAAUCAUGAGAAAAAGAAGUGACAGUCACUUCUUUCUUUGAAUCCCCUUUCAGAGUUCUUAUAACUCAAGAAUAGCUAAAACCUCACAGAAGAAACACAGAAGGAGCUGGUUCAAGCAAA